rnacentral:misc_RNA from 1 species
AACGCACCUUGCGCUCCUUGGUAUUCCGAGGAGCAUGCCUGUUUGAGUGUCAUUAAAUUCUCAACUACCUUUGGUUAUUUUCUUCCAUUGGUGGCUUGGAAGUGAGGGCUUUGCUGGCUUUUCUUUAGAAUCAUCAGCUCCCUUGAAAUGAAUCAGCGUCGUCUCAGCCGAUCGAACGCCCCUCGGUAUGAUAAGUUAUCAAUGCCGUGUCGGGGAUCAAAUGAGUCCGCUCCCAAUGGUCCUUUUCUUCUAGGACAAAAAAACUAUCAUCAUAUCUUGACCUCAAAUCAGGUAGGACUACCCGCUGAACUUAA